rnacentral:lncRNA from 1 species
CUCUUCCUUCUUCUUUCUGCUUUUCUUUCUUUCUUUCCUUCUUCUUCUUCUUCUUCUUAUGUAGUUGCCUGAUGAAUCUUCUUUUUUCCUUUAAGACCAGAGAAAAAAGAGAAGCAAAUCUAAUUUAAAGAAAGCUGAAGGAACUUGUUCGACAAGAGAGAUUAUUUGUCCUUCGUAUUGUGUGUGUGUAUAUAUAUAUAUAUAUAUAUAUAAUUGGACAAGGGCAAACUCUGUAUAUAUACAGGAAGAACAGAGAGUAGAGAAGAAGACUAAAGACAUGGAGAGUAGAGGAGGGUGCAAGCAAGGAAGAGAAGAGGAAGAGAAAAAAAAAAAAAAAAAAGGGAGGGAAAAAGGUCAGAAGAAGGUUGAAAAAGAAGUAAAAAGAGAGAAUUGUUUUGGAAUUUAGGUUUGGUAAGUGAUCAUUGUAAUGAUGAUGAUGAUGUCUGCAUUUUGCCUUUUUUUCUUGUUUAUUAUUAUUUGUAAUGGUUAUGCUUCUUCCUUUUUUCCUAAUUUAACUAUUAAACAGAAAAUAAUAAAUUUGUUCUCCUAUGCUUAAGAAUAAUUAACAUUCCUAUUGUGAUUUUAAAAUAUUAUUUAUAAAAUUCAAAAUUUAUUUACUGUAAGCUUGUGAAGAUAAAU